rnacentral:snRNA from 1 species
GGAUGUGAGGGCAAUCUGGCUGCAAUAUCUGCCACCCCACUGAUGACCAGGGUUGAUUGGGCUGACCAGGCUGAUUAGACAAGUGUCCCCUUCCUUCCUCACUGCUCCAAGAAUGACCUCCCCCUCGAGAGGAGGCCCAGUCUUGGUCAAGGGUAUCUGAAUAGCUGGGCUUCCCUAAUAGAACACACAAAUAAGCUCUUUCAAAAGGCUAUAUAUUUAAAGAACUUAAGAACGCAGGAGGAAAUACUUUUGAUUAAACAAACAGCAGUAUACAAAAAUCUGUGUACAGAAUGAU